UAUUAUUAAGCGGAGGAAAAGAAACUAACMAAGAUUGACAUAGUAAGGGCGACUGAAAUGUCAAGAGCUCAGCAUGUGAAUCAGCGCUUGCCUCUUUGUGAGCGCUGAAUUGUGGUCUUACGACUUUUGCGUUCAUCUUUGGUCCGACCAUGUUUUUUGGAAUAAAAUAGCAGAGAGGGUGAAACUCCCGUGCGUCGGACCUUGCGAAGCAAAUUGUCACUGAGUCGAGUUGUUUGGGAUUGCAGCUCCAAUUGUACGGUGGUAAAUUCCAUCUCAAGCUAAAUAUCAAUGGGGGACCGAUAGCGUACAAGUACCGUGAGGGAAAGAUGCAAAGAACUUUGAAAAGAGAGUGAAAGAGUACCUGAAAUUGCUGAAAAGGAAGCGAACGAAGCUAGUGAAAGCUACGUCAUACUUUCCAAUUUGCUUGCAAUUUGGACGCUGUGGCCAGCCCAGUUGGGCUUGAUUGCGACUGGUGAAAGCAGGCAUCGAAAAGAUUCCAUUUUCAAUCGCCCUUUUUUACUGCACCAGUUGCGUUUGAGCUGAACGAAAUAGAUUUGUUUGCCCCGUCUAGAAACACGGACCAAGGAGUCUAACAUAUGUGCGAGUACUGGGGCAGCAAACCUCGGUGCGCAAUGAAAGUGUCAGAGGCUGGAAUGUUUAUUUAGU
rnacentral:rRNA from 1 species